rnacentral:lncRNA from 1 species
GGUCUGGUCUGCAUUAGAAUAUGAUAUUUGUUUAAUGGAUAGAUUGAGGGGUUUAAUAUUCAGUGGCAGAUAUUAUGAUACGUUGUUGUCGUCCAAUACAUGAUCAUACAUGUACUGUUAUGGUAUGAUCUGCGGAUAUCAUAUAAGUUUAAUGGGUGGAUUGAAGGACUGGUGUUCAACGUCCAGUGGCAAAUAUUAUGUACACUGUUGUCGUCCAAUACAUGUACUGUUUAAUAUGGUAUGAUCUGAAGAUAUGACUUUAGUUUGAUGAAUGUAUUGAGGGAUCGGUGUUUAAUGUCCAGUGGCAGAUAUCAUAUACGUAGUUGUCGUCC